GUUUAACGGCCGCGGUACCCUAACCGUGCGAAGGUAGCAUAAUCACUUGUUCUUUAAAUAGGGACUAGUAUCAACGGCAUCACGAGGGUUACACUGUCUCCUUUCCCCAAUCAGUGAAACUGAUCUCCCCGUGAAGAAGCGGGGAUAUAACUAUAAGACGAGAAGACCCCAUGGAGCUUUAAGCUCAACAGCACCUCUAUACAAAUAUACCCCCACAACCCACGAGCCCUGUUUGUUAGCUUUAGGUUGGGGUGACCGCGGAGUAUAAUACAACCUCCACGACGAAUAGGCCUAAAACCUUUAUCCAAGAGCCACUGCUCUAAGAAUCAUAAAAUUGACGUAAAAUGAUCCGAUUUUCGAUCAACGAACCAAGUUACCCUGGGGAUAACAGCGCAAUCCAUUUCAAGAGCCCCUAU
rnacentral:rRNA from 1 species